rnacentral:rRNA from 1 species
UCUAUGGAGAGUUUGAUCCUGGCUCAGGACGAACGCUGGCGGCGUGCCUAAUACAUGCAAGUCGAGCGGACCGAAAAGAAGCUUGCUUCGAUUCGGUU